CCCAUCAAUCAAUCAUCCCGACUCCACUUAUUAGUAUUAGCUAAAGUUGAGUAGUAAACCAUCUCAUCUCACCUUGUAUACGGCGGCGGACAGAAGAUGAUGACGUAGUCUGCUCCGGUGGCGCAAGUGUAGGUGCUCGUCUUGUCGUCAUACGCGUAGCUGUAGGCGCGUGGACAAGCGUGCUUGAAGAAGAGCGAGUAUACCGAAGGCUGACACGUGUCAGGCGUCCAUCAAUCAAUCAUCCCGACUCCACUUAUUAUUAUUAGCUAAAGUUCAGUAGUACCAUCUCAUCUCACCUUGUAUACGGCGGCGGACAGAAGAUGAUGACGUAGUCUGCUCCGGUGGCGCAAGUGUAGGUGCUCGUCUUGUCGUCAUACGCGUAGCUGUAGGCGCGUGGACAAGCGUGCUUGAAGAAGAGCGAGUAUACCGAAGGCUGACACGUGUCAGGCGUGGCGUAAGCAUCGCUGCAGCAAUACCGCGGGUCUCCGAACGCCUCGCAGGCGCUG
rnacentral:lncRNA from 1 species